GGCAGCAUGGCUCAGUGGAAAGAGCACGGGCUUUGGAGUCAGAGGUCAUGGGUUCGAAUCCCAGCUCAGCCA
rnacentral:tRNA from 1 species